rnacentral:tRNA from 3 species
GGGCCCCUAGCUCAAUUUGGCAGAGCAACGGACUUUUAAUCCGUGGGUUCUGGGUUCGAGUCCCAGGGGGCUCA